CUACGGGUCGCUCCAGUGGGGAAUAUUGCACAAUGGGCGCAAGCCUGAUGCAGCCAUGCCGCGUGUAUGAAGAAGGCCUUCGGGUUGUAAAGUACUUUCAGCGGGGAGGAAGGGAGUAAAGUUAAUACCUUUGCUCAUUGACGUUACCCGCAGAAGAAGCACCGGCUAACUCCGUGCCAGCAGCCGCGGUAAUACGGAGGGGGCAAGCGGUAAUCGGAAUUACUGGGCGUAAAGCGCACGCAGGCGGUUUGUUAAGUCAGAUGUGAAAUCCCCGGGCUCAACCUGGGAACUGCAUCUGAUACUGGCAAGCUUGAGUCUCGUAGAGGGGGGUAGAAUUCCAGGUGUAGCGGUGAAAUGCGUAGAGAUCUGGAGGAAUACCGGUGGCGAAGGCGGCCCCCUGGACGAAGACUGACGCUCAGGUGCGAAAGCGUGGGGAGCAAACAGGAUUAGAUACCCGAGUAGUC
rnacentral:rRNA from 1 species